rnacentral:rRNA from 1 species
UACAGAGGGUGCAAGCGUUGUUCGGAAUUAUUGGGCGUAAAGGGCGCGUAGGCGGUUCGGCAAGUCUCUAGUGAAAUCUCUGGGCUCAACUCAGAGUCUGCUGGGGAAACUGCCGGGCUUGAGUGUGGGAGAGGAGAGUGGAAUUCCCGGUGUAGCGGUGAAAUGCGUAGAUAUCUGGAGGAAUACCGGUGGCGAAGGCGGCAUCCUGGACCGACAUUGACGCUGAUGAGCGAAAGCUAGGGGAGCAAACGGG